rnacentral:rRNA from 1 species
UACACGUAAAGUGUGACAGGGCUAUCCCGAGUGCCAUCCGCUGAGGAAGGCUUUUACCCAGUGUAGAUAGCUGGGGGAAUAAGGAGAGGGCAAGACUGGUGUCAGCCGCCGCGGUAAUACCAGCUCUCCGAGUGGUGUGGAUGUUUAUUGGGCCUAAAGCAUCCGUAGCUGGCCAAGUUAGUCCCCUGUUAAAUCCACCGAUUCAAUCGUUGGAGUGCGGGGGAUACUGCUCGGCUAGGGGACGGGAGAGGCCGACGGUAUUUUCGGGGUAGGGGUGAAAUCCUAUAAUCCCGGGAAGACCACCAGUGGCGAAGGCUGUCGGCUAGAACGCGCCCGACGGUGAGGGAUGAAAGCUGGGGUAGCGAACCGGAUUAGAUACCCGGGUAGUCCCAGCUGUAAACGAUGCAGGCUAGGUGUUUGGGCGGCCACGUGCCGCUCUAGUGCCGCAGGGAAGUCGUUAAGCCUGCCGCCUGGGGAGUACGGUCGCAAGGCUGAAACUUAAAGGAAUUGGCGGGGGAGCAC